rnacentral:rRNA from 1 species
AUUGAACGCUGGCGGCAGGCCUAACACAUGCAAGUCGAGCGAGCGGCGGACGGGUGAGUAAUGUAUGGGGAACUGCCCGAUAGAGGGGGAUAACUACUGGAAACGGUAGCUAAUACCGCAUACUAUCGGAUGAACCCAGUUGGGAUUAGCUAGUAGGUGAGGUAAGGGCUCACCUAGGCGACGAUACCUAGCUGGUCUGAGAGGAUGAUCAGCCACACUGGAACUGAGACACGGCCCAGAUUCCUACGGGAGGCAGCAGUGGGGAAGAUUGCACAAUGGGCGCAAGCCUGAUGCAGCCAUGCCGCGUGUAUGAAGAAGGCCUUAGGGUUGUAAAGUACUUUCAGCGGGGAGGCGUUACCCGCAGAAGAAGCACCGGCUAACUCCGUGCCAGCCGCCGCGGUAAUAC